UAAACUAGGAUUAGAUACCCUAUUAUUUUAGAUGUAAAUAUUAUUUUACUGGAGUAGUAAUAGAUAUGAACUUGAAACUCAAAGAAUUUGGCGGUAUUUUAGUCUUUUUAGAGGAAUCUGCCCUGUAAUUGAUAAUCCGCAAUAUAUCGUUCUUUGAUUUGUAAAUUCAGCUUGUAUACCGCCGUUAUCAGAAUAUUUUAUUAGAGUGUUAAUAUUCAUUUUUAUUAUUAUAAUCUAUUUCAGGUCAAGGUGCAGCCUAUAUUUAAGUGGGAGGUGGAUUACAAUAAAUUUAUUUAAACGGUUAAAGAUUUGAAAAUAGUUUUUUUAAGGCGGAUUUAAUAGUAAAUUUAAUUAAUAUUUUAAGUUGAUUUUGCUCUAAAAUAUGUACAUAUCGCCCGUCGCUCUCAUUAUUAAGUUGAGAUAAGUCGUAACAAAGUAGAUGUACUGGAAAGUGUAUCUAGAAAGUAAUUUC
rnacentral:rRNA from 1 species